rnacentral:snRNA from 1 species
AUUAUUUUUCAAAAAAAAAAAUCUGUUCUUAUCAGUUUAAUAUCUGAUACGUCCCCCAUCGGGGGACUACAUAUUAAAUGGAUUUUUCGAACAGGGAGUCGGAAAUGGGGCUUGCUCCGUCCGCUCCACGCAUCGACCCGGUAUUGCAGUACCUCCGGGAACGGUGCAACACUU